AUGUUCACUGUUAUAUUUGUGUGUCUGUGGCUUUCACUAGGUGACUCCAUGGCAGAUUCAGUAGAGACACUUUUCACUCAUAAAGUUGUAGAUGAAGGUGAUGAUGUUACUCUGUCCUGCACAUAUGAAAUAACCAGUGGUACAGCAAACAACUACCUGCACUGGUACAAACAAUAUCCAAAAUCUAAACCUGAGUUUCUUCUUUAUAUUCAUCAACGUGGAGAUCUAAGUCACAAUACUCCCCCAAGAAUGACUGCUAAACUUCAUGGAGAUAAACAAGUGGAUCUGAUCAUCUCCUCUGCUGCUGUAUCAGACUCUGCUCUAUACUACUGUGCUCUGAGGCCCACAGUGACAGGAAAUCCAGCUGCACUGUACAAAAACUAA